UGGAUUUGUUUAUGUGAUCAAAAUGAUGGAAUUGAAUGAAAGAAUCUAUCAUCUCAAUGGAGAUAAAAAAAAUAAAUUAUGUUUUAUCAAGGAAAAUAAUCCAUCACGUAUUCUGUUAUUUGUGCUACACUUGGCUCCUACAAAUAUAUGGUCUUUUCAGUUAUUAUUGAUAAGGAGACUAGGAUGUUAAAUGAAUACAUCAUGUAAUAACGGUCUAAUAAUUACUUGAUCUGGGCCUAGCGUGGUUGAGUAGUA
rnacentral:lncRNA from 1 species